CCCUUUUCAGACUUCUUCUGCCUCUGGAGAUGACUAUUACAGCUUCCCAAGUUGGAGAACAGCAAAGCAUACCAUAGUCACAGUUGGAUAACUUCACAGCAAAAUCACUUUUUAAUGAGAAGGGUAUCAGCAGUACAGACCUUUUGAAGUUAAACUCUUAAGUUUGCCUGAUAAGCAGCCAUACUGAGCUCAUUGAUGAAAAAGCAUCAUUUGCUGAACUAGCCUCAUGUUUCAAGAUUGGAAGUCACAGUUACGUCAUUGCUUUGGUUAAUUGGCUGCACCUGUCACUUGUUAUCAGCUCUAAUCCAGUAGUCUCUGAACCAUGUGUUGCAAGGUCAGCAGGAGCGGGAAAGAGCCUGAUACACUGAGAAACAUUGUUAGAUGUAAUCUUAGUUUGUCAGCCUGUUGUGCUUGUUAAAUUCAAAUCGUCACUUUUCAGCUCAUGAGAUGAGCUUCUCAAAGUGAGAACGUUGAGAUAACUUGAGAGAACAGUCCAUGGCUCUUUUCCUUUAAGGCAAUUGCUUAGUUAAAUUAAGAUCACAGUUUUUUUUACAGAAUAUAUUAAUUUGUGGGUUUGUGUUCUGUAAUGAAAAAUUCUUUACAACUUUGUUCUUGAAGUCAGAGUGUAAUUUAAAAAUUCAUAAGUAGCCAGAGAAAAUAUAUCUAUAUCUACAGUAUUUAGAUGUCCCUUCCAUGUCAUAGAGUUUGAGUCCUCAGCUGUCUCAGGUGCCUGUCAUUGUGCUGUCUUUUAUCACAUAAUUCUAUUUGGGGGAUUGAACUUUCAGUAAAGUUAUUGUAGAUGAGUAAUUAUGUUGAUGCUUCCUGCUAUUUAUAUACUUAAACUAUCUUUUAAUUCUAGUGUGUUUCUCAGCUAGUUAAAUAGUUUGAGUUCUUCAAUACAUCUUGAAAACACUUGCGUUCUAUGUACAUUCAUAAUGUUUCUGAAUUUUGAAAGUAAAUCCAAGUAUCUUGGGCACUGGAAUUUGAUAUAACUCAUAUGCUUUGCAAUUUUCAUACAUUUUGUAAUGAGCCAGUUGCUAAACUUGUUUAGACAAUUUGAAUGAGCUGAUUAGCUUAUUCUGCACAUAACCGCAGAAUACUGGUGCAUUAUCAUCCUUUGUUUCAGAGAAGCAAUUCUUAUACCAUUAAAUGGAACUUAGAAAUUUAGAAAUGUUCUAAAUUUAGAAUUUCUUAACAUUUUGUGUUAUAAGUAUUUUGCUAUUUAUUCUACUGUAAAUUUCAGAAGACUACAAGUACACAGAAGAUGUGAUAAAUCAGUGUUCUGUUAUUGAGGGUUGUUGCUAAGAAAUAAAGCAAGUUUAACAAGUGU